rnacentral:rRNA from 1 species
GACGAACGCUGGCGGCGCGCCUAACACAUGCAAGUCGAACGAGCGAGAGAGAGCUUGCUUUCUCGAGCGAGUGGCGAACGGGUGAGUAACGCGUGAGGAACCUGCCUCAAAGAGGGGGACAACAGUUGGAAACGACUGCUAAUACCGCAUAAGCCCACGGCUCGGCAUCGAGCAGAGGGAAAAGGAGUAAUCCGCUUUGAGAUGGCCUCGCGUCCGAUUAGCUAGUUGGUGAGGUAAUGGCCCACCAAGGCGACGAUCGGUAGCCGGACUGAGAGGUUGAACGGCCACAUUGGGACUGAGACACGGCCCAGACUCCUACGGGAGGCAGCAGUGGGGAAUAUUGCACAAUGGGGGAAACCCUGAUGCAGCGACGCCGCGUGGAGGAAGAAGGUCUUCGGAUUGUAAACUCCUGUUGUUGGGGAAGAUAAUGACGGUACCCAACAAGGAAGGACGG